ACCCGUGUGGGUCAAUCGGACCGUGCACUGGACUUACAAUCCAGAGGUCGCCGGUUCGAAUCCCGCGGCGGGCG
rfam:Culex pipiens quinquefasciatus supercont3.333 genomic scaffold, whole genome shotgun sequence.